AAACCAGGGUCCCUGGUAAUUAUACUCACGUUUGUUAAAUGUGGCAGAAGUGCAAGUUUGUUUUCAUGCUUUGAGUGCACAAAUCUUGCCAUUGCCGCAAUUUUGUAUAUAAUUCUGGGUCACCAAGACCAUCAAAUGUUUUAUUUUUUACAGGUUACACUGAAUCCCAUAAAACAGUAUUUAUGGUAUGUUUUCAAGCAAAAAUAACUCUAACGAGUUGGAGAGAAAAGUGUUGGCAGUCAUUAAAAAAAGCAUUACCUGCCUUCCUUCCUGAGAUGCACUUACAAAGCAUUAACAGAAUACUCAGUAGUUUUACACUUUAACGAAAGGGAUUUAAUUCUGAAAUAAGCAUGCCGCAUUACUCAGUUUUGCUGCCAUGAAAUGUUUUCAUUUGCAAUCAGGUCUUCAAUUAUUGUGGGUUAUUUUCCCCCUAGAAAUAUAUUGGUAACAUGAAACCCAAAUACCUUUUAUCCAGCUAUUAUCGUGCCCCUGAAAUCAUAGUUUUGACUUGUCUGUCAUGUAUAACUGUUAGCUCCUACAUAAUGCAUAUUUGCUUCUACAUAAUGUUAACGGUAGAUGAUCAAAAAUUUUUUUAUUAAAAUCAUGUUGCUAGCUUUCACAUUUCCAUGCACUAAGUGGAUACACAUACGUAGAAGUAGUGAAUGGCAGUUUUCAAAAUUACAGUCAUGUCACAUCUUACGCGGGGGUUACGUUCUGAAGUCAGCGUGUAAGGCAAAAAUCGUAUAGUUGAAAUUGC